AGUAUUUGAAGACGUUUUACGUGACUGUUAAUCACAAUCACACUUGUUACGGGAGGUUUUUCAACAGCAGAAAUGACACCACAGAGCAGUGGCGUUAUUAACGUGAGACAUGAAGUACCGGCCGCGAGCAGCUAUGAUGAUGUACACAAGACCCUUGAGAGAUCCAGCCUACUAACCCCUUCACAAAGGGAGAAGACCAGAUUAUGAGACUCGGGAGAUCCUGUCAGACCCAUCUCUACCCUCAGAAUUCCAAUCACCACUACGUGCUUCAGACAGGACCCAGGAUCCCACACAGCCUAGGCGAAGAUCGAAGACCAAGUCCAUUGAUGGUUUCCUCUCAACUACAGCAAUGUGUCUCAGCAUCCCUUUCGUUUCUGCCUUCCAAAAGUAAGAUCAAGCCAGUCACGAUGGCACACAUUUUAAUCCCAUCACUCAGAAGGCAGAGGAGGUAGGGCCUCUGCGAACUGGAGGACAGUCUGGUCUGCAAAGCAAGCUCCAUGUUGGC